rnacentral:misc_RNA from 1 species
CUCAUUCGAUAUGCAGGCUCGCGUUCACCGCCGCGUGAUAGCCGCCGAGCCGCGUUCCUACGUGCCGCGCGCGCUUCGUUGCCCGUCGCGCUCUCGCGGCCAGUAGGCGUGUCGUGGCGGGGAUCGCGACGACGGUCGCGCGAGGGUGCGAACACCACGCGAGAAGGAAGGGUGGAAACACGUAGCCUCUACGGCGGACGUCCAGCGCGACGCGAUGAUCAUCUGGAUCGGUUUUCCUCGCUUUUCCUGCGCCCGGGACAGACACUGACGAUAUGGAUACAGUAUGGCUUCAGCACUCUGGCAUGCCUCUGGGAAUAGUUUUCUUUCGCCAGCCUUCGUGUUGCUCUUGCUACUCUGUCCACGCAGCUCCACAGCACGCGAGGUAAUUGACGCGCCACUGCCGCAACAAGACUACGUUCCAUCACUGCCACCACCACCGGGAGGUCUCACCACUGUCAGAGCACCAAAGUGCGAUCAAAAGUUUGUGAGCACCCCCGAAGGGCCGGAGAACGGGACCUUUCACGCACCGACCCUAAUCAAUCCCGAGAAGAAUCCGCGACAGUGCGUCUACACGUUCCUCGCGGGGCCGCAUCAGCGGGUUGAAUUGAUCUUCACCGCGUUCGGCCUUCGGGGAAAACCUCCAGAUGGAUCUGCUGUGGGAGAAUUGCCUGCCUGUGUUCACGAGUAUAUGGACAUAUACUCGGAGAUCCGAUCGGAGAACACGACCAAGCUGAUAGAAACGCCGUUCGGUGGACGGUUCUGCGGACCGAUUCCACCGCGCAGACGGGUCUCUCUUUAUCAGGGAAUCGCGCUCAGCUUCUUCACCGACAAGAAUAUCACGGUGCCGAGCGUCUUCGGCGGUAUUUACAGAUUCAUCAAUGCUUCCGAAUUUGAGGUGGGCACACCGGCGCCAAGCACGCCAUGCACUUUCACGAUAAACGCAAAAAUCAAACGCACGGGGAACAUACUGUCUCCUACUUAUCCCGGCACCUAUCCGAAAGAUCUCACUUGCAACUAUCAGUUUAUCGGGAAUCGUGGACAGCGCGUGCGGCUAGAAUUUCGCGACUUCGAUUUGUAUUUCGGCGGACCGCAUUGUCCAUUGGAUUACGUGAAGGUGUACGAUGGCCUUGACAAUUCGUCCGCCGUUAUCGGCACGUAUUGCGGCCAGCAGCGGAACUUGGUGCUCUACUCUUCGGAGAACAGCUUGUUCGUGUUAUUUUCCACGCUGAAGCGCACGGCAAACACGCAGAAUCGAGGAUUCAAGGGGAUCUUCGAGUUCUCGGAGAGCUUCGUCAGCCUCGACUUUAUCACGGAAUACCAUGGCGAGCAUAUCCGCGGGUCCGAGUGCGAUCAGAAGAUCCUCAGCAAGAAGGAGACCUCGGGACACGUAGUUAGUCCGAAUUUUCCAUAUCCUUAUAUCCCCAAGGUCGUGUGCCGUUACUUUAUCUACGGGAUGCAGGACGCGCAGCAUCUGGAGCGCGUGCGAUUGGAGUUUAUACAGUUUGCGAUACAGAUGGGCAAAGGAGAGGCGUCUUGCACCGACGGCUACCUGAAACUGUAUUUAAAAGGGCAGGAGGCGACGGAUUCUUACGACAAAUUCGAUUACGAGAUGUGCGGCAACAAGAGCAACCCGAGCUACGUGGUCAGCGACGGGCCGAGGCUCGUGAUGGUGUUCAGCAGUGGCGAAUUGCAGGCGCAGGGUUUCAAAGCCAAGUACACCUUCGAAACGGAAUACAAGAUCCCGGGCACCGCGGCGCCCGACGGCACCUGCAACUUCACUUAUCGCAGCGAUUCCCGCAAGCGGGGCGAGUUCAAUUCGCCGCGAUACCCCAGCAAUUAUCCGAGCGACACUAAUUGCACUUACUUCUUCGUGGCGACGCCGAACGAGCAGGUCGCUCUGAUCUUCGACCACUUCAAGGUCCGGACGAAAACUCUCAAUGCCACGGUCGGACAUUACGGAUACGAGCUCUGCCAGGACGACUGGCUGGAAAUUUACAACGUGUACCGAGACGACACGGAGAAAUUGAUAGGGAGGUACUGCGGCGGGACCGCGCCGGGCCCGGUGGAAUCGAAUCUCGGUGCUCGUGGCCUGAAGGUGAUUCUGCACUCCGACUCCGAGCUCGUCUACAGCGGCUUCAAGGCGCGUUACACCUUCGAGGUCGCUAAACCUAUUUCCGGAGAUUGUGGAACAAAUAUUAGUAGCUUAAAUUCCGGUAUAAUAACCAGUCCGAAUUUCCCGAAUAAAUACGAGGGCCCGGCGAAAAACUUGGCUAGCAAGACUUGCAACUGGUUUAUAAGGGUUCAACCGAACAAGCAUAUACUUUUGAACUUUGAGCUCUUCUCCGUGGAAGGCGAUCAAAUAGCGCGAGGCUGUCCCGCGGCUGUGCUACGCAUGUGGUACUCGUUAACGUCGACCCCGAUCGAGCUGUGCGGCGUGAAGGACAACGCCAAGUGGAGCUGGCUUUCGGAGGACAACAAUAUGCGGCUCAGUUUUAUAUUGGCCGACAAGGCGGUGGGGCAGCAGGGCUUUCGGGCGGUAUGGACGGAAGUGAGCACAGACCCCGAAGACCCCUGCGAGGAUCAGGAUCAGUUUCUGUGCAGCAAAAGUAGAUAUUGCAUCUCCAAGUCGCUACUGUGCAAUAGCAUUGAUAAUUGCGGGCCGGACGAUACGUCGGACGAGGAGCAGUGUACAGCAUCAGCCCCAUUGUCACCAGCACUGGCUGGGGUCUCUUCUGCCAUGCUUCUUCUCUCUCUGUGCUUUGUGUUCGUGGCCGUCUGAGCCCCCUUCAUGAAGCUUCCAAGACGAUCCGGCAUGUUAUGAAAUCUCUUCCCCUUAUCACGCGUCAUAGAUGUACCGGUCGACAGCUACGCGAUGCCGAUAGUCUACGCGAUCGGCGGCAUCCUGGUGGCCCUGGUGCUCUGCCUGAUC